AUGGGGUUUGUUAAAUUGAAUGUGGAUGCUUGUUUUGAUCAUGAUCGGCUAAGGGGCACAACAGGUGUUGUUAUCAGAGAUGACAAAGGAAACUUCAUAGUAGGUGGUAACUGGAAGAUUCAGUACUGUGCGGAUGCUCUGACAGCGGAGGCAUUAGGAUUCAGGUUUGGUUUAGGUUUGGCACAAAAGGCAGGCUGCAAUCGUCUCAUUAUCAAUUCUAAUAAUAUGGAAGUCAUUGACACAAUGAAGAAUGGCGGACAGUCGGCGAGAGCAGCGGCUGCAAUUUUUUAGGACUGUUUUUUUAUUGCCUGUGAUUUUCCUCACACCAGUUUUGAACAUUGUAACAGAAAAGCGAACAAGGUAGCUGAUGAGCUUGCUAGAUUAGCAAAAUGUUCCAUGACUAAGGAUUGGAUAGAGGAUCCCAUGGAAAAUCUUGUAGCUCUCCUUAUAGACGAUGUAACCAUUAUUUCUAAUUAA
rnacentral:rRNA from 1 species